rnacentral:lncRNA from 1 species
AAAGUCUGAAGUUACGCUGUCUUUCGGUUGGAUUUCUGGUGCCGUGGUAGGGCUACUUCUACAGUCCCUUGGGGCUGAGCAGAAAUAAUGGGAGCAUGUGCUUCAGCGGGUUCUCAGGGCUCCUUCCUGCAAUUCAGCUCCUCUCUUGGUGCACCCAGGAUUGCCGUGGAGCUGCGACUUCCUCACUGCCUUCAGCAAAACUCGCAUGGACAGGAUUUCCUGCCACAACAUCUGUCUUAGCGAAAGCUUUCCUAUCACAGAGAAAAACCCGCUGAUUCAGGUUUGCCUUUCCAAUCCAAGCAAAUCCAAAACAUCUGCAAGAGGAACAACUAACCGAUAAAGGAAAAUAAAAUACACUUUGCUUCAAAGAAAGAGUUCAAUACAACUGGUGAACAUCUGUACAAACUUCAAGCUCUAAGAAGGGCUAAACCAGGUCAGAUGAGCAGCAACAUGAUGAUCUGGAUACUCACAAAACAGUUUUACACUGAAAGGAAUGCAGUGAAGGAAUAAAUUCAGUAGCAGCCUGUCCAAUGAAGUUGGUGGUCCUUAUGUUCUUCAAGAAUGUAAAUUCUUAUGGUCAAACUGUUUUUUGCAUCAUGAUUUGGUUAUGACUUCCAUCCCCCGGGAGAUGGAGCAGGAUUGGGAAGGAGCCUCAGCCCCCUCGGGACCCCUUGGUCACAUCAGGGCACCAUGGACGAGCUAGACCAGUCGCCCCUGGUCUCCUCCUCCACCUCCGGGCCAACGCGUCCGCAGCAGCCCCAGUUCAACUACCAGUUCGUGCUCGACGACGAGAAGGAGGAGGAGGAAGAAGAGGAGGAGGAAGAGGAGGACGAAGACUUCGACGAGCAGCUGGAGGUGAUGGA